rnacentral:rRNA from 1 species
AACGAACGCUGGCGGCAUGCCUAACACAUGCAAGUCGAACGAGACCUUCGGGUCUAGUGGCGCACGGGUGCGUAACGCGUGGGAACCUGCCCUUAGGUUCGGAAUAACUCCCCGAAAGGGGUGCUAAUACCGGAUAAUGUCUUCGGACCAAAGAUUUAUCGCCUUUGGAUGGGCCCGCGUUGGAUUAGCUAGUUGGUAGGGUAAAAGCCUACCAAGGCGACGAUCCAUAGCUGGUCUGAGAGGAUGAUCAGCCACACUGGGACUGAGACACGGCCCAGACUCCUACGGGAGGCAGCAGUGGGGAAUAUUGGACAAUGGGCGAAAGCCUGAUCCAGCAAUGCCGGGUGAGUGAUGAAGGCCUUAGGGUUGUAAAGCGCUUUUACCCGGGAUGAUAAUGACAGUACCGGGAGAAUAAGCUCCGGCUAACUCCGUG